AUUCUCGCAUCGGAAGAAGGCCGAGUUUUGUUUGCCUCCAAAACCUGGAGCACUGCGAGUCUCGGAGGCCUUACACGAGGAGUUUCACGGUUUGCUCUGCUUCCACGUUGAAAACGUGACCCCAGUUCAGCUUGAGCUGAGCAAGCAAGUCGCGCCACAGUAGGCACUGUUGUGUUCCCGGAACGACAACAACCGAUUCAACAGGAUCAAAGGCACACGGACAUGCAACCCAAAAAUUAAA